GAUGAAGAACGUAGCGAAAUGCGAUAAGUAAUGCGAAUUGCAGAAUUUCCGUGAGUCAUCGAAUCUUUGAACGCACAUUGCGCCCGCCAGCAUUCUGGCGGGCAUGCCUGUUCGAGCGUCAUUUCAACCCUCAAGCUCUGCUUGGUGUUGGGGCCCUACGGUUGACGUAGGCCCUUAAAGGUAGUGGCGGACCCUCUCGGAGCCUCCUUUGCGUAGUAACUAACGUCUCGCACUGGGAUUCGGAGGGACUCUUGCCGUAAAACCCCCAAAUUUUUAAAGGUUGACCUCGGAUCAGGUAGGAAUACCCGCUGAACUUAAGCAUAUCAAUAAGCGGAGGA
rnacentral:misc_RNA from 1 species